rnacentral:lncRNA from 1 species
UCUCACCAGAUCUCAUCCGCCCCCAACUCCAUGCUUUCUCUCUCCCAGGCGAUUUCCAGAUCUAGGGUUUCAAUAACCCUGAAUCGUUCAUUUUCUCUCAAUCCGACAGAAGAUCCAGUGGGGUUGACCUCAGCUAAAUGAAGUAUAUGACUGUAGCAAGCCCCAUUUAAACUUUUGCUUCAGAUUGUGACUUUGGGUUCAAAGUUGAUUUUGUUGGUUGCCCCUUUUCUUUAUGCUUAGGAAUCUUGAACCCUAACAACGAGUAUGCAUCCCUGAAUCCCAAAGAAGGUAGCUUUCACGGAUGGAAAUUGUAUGGUUUUGUGAAGCUCAGAUUUUUGCAGAUUCAACAGUUAAGUCACAGAUACGGACGUGAGUUGUGAGGGGACGGGAGUUGUGAGAGGACGGGAUGACGGUAGUAGGCAUCACUCAGGAGCACAAUUCUGAAAGCAGAUGUCUAUUGUUAUGUUAAAGAGGCCAAGCAAAAUCUAUCAAGUUACUUCUGCACAUAAAGCGCAAUGAGGGAGACGCCAAGGUACAGUCAUUGGUUUUAAGUGAACAUGGCCUUUUGUUUCCAAGGUACUAUUUUUUCAUGUUCUCAAACAAUUAUGAAUUUAUUAUUGUAUUUUUAUACCUAUUAUUAUAGAUGACCCGGAUUUUACUUUUGACUAACAAAAGAGUUGAUAGGCAAAUCAUUAGAACCAGCAGCCGUGAGCAAUAGCGCCACCACCUUCAAUAAACGAUAUUCGUUUGGAAUAACGGUUGUGAUUCCAUCAUAGCAACCCAGCACCCGAUAAAUGAUAUCAGUUUGUGUUGCUGAUGUAACCUUUGUCCUCUCUCCUGCUGAACCCAGAGAUUAUCACAAACCUAGGCAGCUCAAAACUUGGAAAUGGUGAUCAACCGGUGUUAAUUGAUUAUGAACGUCUCAAAGUAUAGAUACGAUGUUGUGGUUAUGUUUUAUGUUUCUGAAAUGGAGGGUGAAAGAUUAGGU